CAGUACGCAACCUCUUCCUACCAGCGCCGUCAUAAUGUCCGGCAGCGGCUGUGGCUUUCUCGGCAACGUUGAUCCGGACCUUCCACUCACCCCGGAUGGGGUCACCUACCACGUCGCCUGCAGCAGCGAGCGCCUGGCAGACCGCAUCAUCUUGGUCGGUGAUCCAGGCCGCGUGAAAAUGGUGAGCACCUACCUGGACACUGGCAGCAUCGUCUACGAGGCCUCGCACCGUGAAAUCAGGGUCGUUACCGGAGCGUACCACGGAGUUCCAGUGACGGUGCUGAGCACAGGCAUGGGCACCGACAACAUCGAGAUCGUGAUGAACGAGGUGCACAUCCUGAAGGAGUACGACACGCAGAAGCGGCGAUGGCGCGCUCGCGUCGGGGAUGAUACCCCGGCAGACCCGCUCGAGACACCGUUCGAUCCAUCGAGGGUGAAGCUGAUCCGCGUUGGCACCUGCGGCACACCGAAUGACGAGGUGCAGAUAGGCUGCCUCGCCAUCACGCGGUACGCCGUCGGCAUGGACAACACCUGCCAGUACUACGACCCCCCUGCGGUGAACCACACGGCGGACGUGAAAGAGGUGCUGGCGAAGGUUCAGGCAACCUCCCUCGGGAAGGUGCAGGUGUACGCAACCAAGGCCGCACCCGCCAUCACGCAGGGUCUCGUGGACGCCUGCACGGCUCUCAACAGAAAGGCGGGUGUGUCGGAGCAGCAGCCCUACUACGUGGGAACUACGUGCAGCGGCAGCGGCUUCUACGGAUGCCAAGGUCGCAGUGUCGGCCGCUUUCGCGGUCACCUCACCGUCCCGCAUCUCACCGAGGAACUCGGCGACCUGCGCUUCAACGUCAGCGAAGGCGAGCAGCGCGUCGCGAACAUCGAGAUGGAGAACAGCGCUCUCUGCUACCUCAGCAACCUCCUCGGCUACCAGGCGGGCACGGUGUGUGUCGUGAUUGCGCGGCGUUCUCGCACCAAUCGCACCUUCGCGACGCCAGAGCAGCUGGCCAAGGGGCUCUCCCGCGCCAUCACAAUCGCCCUAGAGACCCUCAUAAAGGAAUAAGCGAGCCACCGUCGCCGGCGCAGUCGGAGAAGGAGAGGGGGGCGUCGUCGUCAUUGUCCCCCUCUCCUUCUCCCGUGAGGCUUCACGCGACUCCACCCCCCCCCUCUCCACCACCACCACCACCAGCACCCUCGCUCACACGCAGAUGCCACCGCCGGCACUUCCCUCUCUGGAUAGCGCAGCACAUAACCAGGAAAGGGAAGCGGCUGCUCGUCGCUCAUCCAUGCGUUCUGCUUCUGGUGUUGUCUUGCAUUCAAGUGCAGUGCGCCACCCCUUCGCCUCCUGUCAUCUUGUCCUUGUUGGGCGUGGUGCCGGGGUGUGGGUGGAGAGGGGGGGCCGCACCCCCUCCCCCUCUACGUCUAUUCGCCUACUCAACGCCAUCACGCACGUGAAACCCCACCCCACACCCUCCCUCCCGGCCCUGACGCAGACUCCAUCGCGUGGUGCGAAGCAGCCGAAGGCACGCACUACAGCAGUGCACCGACUUGGCGGUCGUUGCAGGUCCUCACCUGCCUCAAGCUCUACCCACCCAACCCUAAUCUUGCAGGCCGCCUCACAGCCGUUCACAUCAUGCCGGCCGCCAGCCCUGGUGCAUCUCUCGAGGUGGCACUCAGGUUCCUUAAGCCAGGAGGCAGUGAGAGUCGUUAGGUGGGCGAGUGAGAGUCGUGCGAGUGACGCUGGCACUCUGCCCAUCAUGUGGAUGGCACAGACGUGCUCACCGUUGCAGUUCGCUCUGACCUCCCCACGUCCUAGACACUCAGCACUGGCGCGACCAGAAGUGGUUCGGCAUUGGCAGGGAGAGAGGGGGGGGGGCUGCUUGGCUUUCACCCCACACGGGGCGAGGGUGCACCGGCCCCUGAGGAUGCGCCGCACGGAGGGCUGUGUGUGUUCCCCGUCAUCAGGGACAUUGAAC
rnacentral:misc_RNA from 1 species